AGGAGAAAGCUUGCUUUCUUGCUGACGAGUGGCGGACGGGUGAGUAAUGCUUGGGAAUCUGGCUUAUGGAGGGGGAUAACGACGGGAAACUGUCGCUAAUACCGCGUAUUAUCGGAAGAUGAAAGUGCGGGACUGAGAGGCCGCAUGCCAUAGGAUGAGCCCAAGUGGGAUUAGGUAGUUGGUGGGGUAAAGGCCUACCAAGCCUGCGAUCUCUAGCUGGUCUGAGAGGAUGACCAGCCACACUGGAACUGAGACACGGUCCAGACUCCUACGGGAGGCAGCAGUGGGGAAUAUUGCGCAAUGGGGGGAACCCUGACGCAGCCAUGCCGCGUGAAUGAAGAAGGCCUUCGGGUUGUAAAGUUCUUUCGGUAUUGAGGAAGGUUGAUGUGUUAAUAGCACUCAAAU
rnacentral:rRNA from 1 species